AACGAACGCUGGCGGCAGGCCUAACACAUGCAAGUCGAGCGAGGACUUCGGUCCUAGCGGCGGACGGGUGAGUAACGCGUGGGAACGUGCCCUUUGCUUCGGAAUAGCCCUGGGAAACUGGGAGUAAUACCGGAUGAGCCCUUUGGGGGAAAGAUUUAUCGGCGAAGGAUCGGCCCGCGUUGGAUUAGGUAGUUGGUGGGGUAAUGGCCUACCAAGCCGACGAUCCAUAGCUGGUUUGAGAGGAUGAUCAGCCACACUGGGACUGAGACACGGCCCAGACUCCCUCGGGGGGGAAGAAGGGGGGAACUUAGGCCAUGGGGGGAAACCUGAACCUGCCCAGGCGGGUGAACGGUUGAGGGCUUAGGGUUGUAAAGGUCUUUCAGCUGGGAAAGUUAAGGCCGUUACAGGAAGAAGAGGCCCGGGCAACUCCGUG
rnacentral:rRNA from 1 species